rnacentral:rRNA from 1 species
CGGUGAUUAUAGCAAGAGGGAAACACCCGGUCCCAUCCCGAACCCGGAAGUUAAGGCUCUUAGCGCCGAUGGUACUGCACUGGCGACGGUGUGGGAGAGUAGGUCAUCGCCG